rnacentral:misc_RNA from 1 species
AACGCAAAUUGCGCUCCUUGGUAUUCCGAGGAGCAUGCCUGUUUGAGUGUCAUGAAAUCAUCCACCUCACCUUUGGGCUUUUGUCCGAGGGUCCGGCUGGGACUUGGGUGUUUGCGCGGCGAUAAGCCCCGCUCACCUUAAACACAUUGUAAAGAUCUAGCCUGCUGGCCGGUUUGACUUGGCGUUAUAAAUUAUUUCGCUGAGGACACUCGCAAGGGUGGCCGUCCGACAUCUGCAUCUUGUCUCGAAAGUGUUCCACACUUGAAGAGGCUACAAACUUUUGACAUCUGGCCUCAAAUCAGGUAGGACUACCCGCUGAACUUAA